AGGGGGUCAUCCCGACUUACCAACCCGAUGCAAACUGCGAAUACCGGAGAAUGUUAUCACGGGAGACACACGGCGGGUGCUAACGUUCGUCGUGAAGAGGGAAACAACCCAGACCGCCGGCUAAGGUCCCAAAGUCAUAAUUAAGUGGGAAACGAAGUGGGAAGGCUCAGACAGCCAGGAUGUUGGCUUAGAAGCAGCCAUCAUUUAAAGAAAGCGUAAUAGCUCACUGGUCGAGUCGGCCUGCGCGGAAGAUGUAACGGGGCUAAAUUAUGCACCGAAGCCGCGGCAGCGAUAUGUAAAUAUUGUUGGGUAGGGGAGCGUUCUGUAAGCCUGUGAAGGUGUGCUGUGAGGCAUGCUGGAGGUAUCAGAAGUGCGAAUGCUGACAUAAGUAACGAUAAUGCGGGUGAAAAACCCGCACGCCGGAAGACCAAGGGUUCCUGUCCAACGUUAAUCGGGGCAGGGUGAGUCGACCCCUAAGGCGAGGCUGAAAAGCGUAGUCGAUGGGCAACGGGUUAAUAUUCCCGUACUGGUGGUAACUGCGAAGGGGGGACGGAGAAAGCUAAAUCAUCCGGGCGACGGUUGUCCCGGUUUAAGCGUGCAGGUGGACUGACCAGGCAAAUCCGGUCGGUUGUUAACACUGAGGCGUGACGACGAGCCACUACGGUGGUGAAGUGAUUGAUGCUCUGCUUCCGGGAAAAGCCUCUAAGCUCCAGGUUACCAUUAAUCGUACCCCAAACCGACACAGGUGGUCAGGUAGAGAAUACUCAGGCGCUUGAGAGAACUCGGGUGAAGGAACUAGGCAAAAUGGUGCCGUAACUUCGGGAGAAGGCACGCUGGCAUUAGGUGAAGUGGUUUACCCACGGAGCUGAAGCCAGCCG
rnacentral:rRNA from 1 species